rnacentral:misc_RNA from 1 species
GAUGAAGAACGUAGCGAAAUGCGAUACGUAAUGUGAAUUGCAGAAUUCAGUGAAUCAUCGAAUCUUUGAACGCAUAUUGCGCUCUCUGGUAUUCUGGAGAGCAUGCUUGUUUGAGUAUCAGUAAACACCUCAACUUCCAUAUCUUUUUUUGAAAUGGGAGUUGGACUUGAGUGAUCCCAACGCUUUUCCUCACCGAAAAGUGGCGGGUUACUUGAAAUGCAGGUGCAGCUGGACUUUUCUCUGAGCUAUAAGCAUAUCUAUUUAGUCUGCCUAAAAAACAGAUUAUUACCUUUGCUGCAGCUAACAUAAAGGAGAUUAGUUCUUGUGCUGACUGAUGCAGGAUUCACAAAGACAGCUUCGGCCGACUUUGUAAACUCGAUCUCAAAUCAAGUAAGACUACCCGCUGAACUUAAGCAUAUCAAUAAGCGGAGGA